rnacentral:rRNA from 1 species
GAUGAACGCUGGCGGCGUGCCUAAUACAUGCAAGUCGAGCGAACAGACGAGGAGCUUGCUCCUCUGACGUUAGCGGCGGACGGGUGAGUAACACGUGGAUAACCUACCUAUAAGACUGGGAUAACUUCGGGAAACCGGAGCUAAUACCGGAUAAUAUAUUGAACCGCAUGGUUCAAUAGUGAAAGCCGGUUUUGCUGUCACUUAUAGAUGGACCCGCGCCGCAUUAGCUAGUUGGUAAGGUAACGGCUUACCAAGGCAACGAUGCGUAGCCGACCUGAGAGGGUGAUCGGCCACACUGGAACUGAGACCCGGUCCAGACUCCUACGGGAGGCAGCAGUAGGGAAUCUUGCGCAAUGGGCGAAAGCCUGACGGAGCAACGCCGCGUGAGUGAUGAAGGUCUUCGGAUCGUAAAACUCUGUUAUUAGGGAAGAACAAAUGUGUAAGUAACUAUGCACGUCUUGACGGUACCUAAUCAGAAAGCCACGGCUAACUACGU